rnacentral:rRNA from 1 species
GGAUUAGGCAUGCAAGUCGCGCGAGAACUUUCAGCAAUGGAGGGGAAAGCGGCGAAAGGGAGAGUAACGCGUGGAUUAUCUACCCUCGGGACCGGGAUAGCUGCGGGAAACUGCAGGUAAUACCGGAUGACAUCUUCGGAUCAAAUGGUGUGAUUCCGCCCGUGGAUGAGUCCGCGUCCUAUCAGCUAGUUGGUAAGGUAAUGGCUUACCAAGGCUUUGACGGGUACUGGGUGUGAGAGCACGACCCAGCUCACUGGGACUGAGACACUGCCCAGACACCUACGGGUGGCUGCAGUCGAGGAUCUUCGGCAAUGGGCGCAAGCCUGACCGAGCGACGCCGCGUGCGGGAUGAAGGCCCUCGGGUUGUAAACCGCUGUCGUAGAGGAGGAAGGUCCGGUGCAGAGCCGGAUUUGACCUAUUCUAGGAGGAAGUGUGGGCUAAGUCCGUGCCAGCAGCCGCGGUAAGACGGACCACACAAACGUUAUUCGGAAUCACUGGGCUUAAAGGGUGCGCAGGCUGUGCAGUAAGUCGGGUGUGAAAUCCCUCGGCUCAACCGAGGAACUGCGCCCGAUACUACUGUGCUCGAGGGAGAUAGAGGUGAGCGGAACUUAGGGUGGAGCGGUGAAAUGCGUUGAUAUCCUAAGGAACACCGGUGGCGAAAGCGGCUCACUGGAUCUCUUCUGACGCUCAGGCACGAAAGCUAGGGGAGCGAACGGGAUUAGAUACCCCGGUAGUCCUAGCCGUAAACGAUGAGCACUGGGUUGAAGGGUUCUCCAUGACCUUUCAGCCGUAGCGAAAGUGUUAAGUGCUCCGCCUGGGGAGUAUGGUCGCAAGGC